rnacentral:rRNA from 1 species
GACGAACGCUGGCGGCGUGCUUAACACAUGCAAGUCGAACGGAAAGGCCCUGCUUUUGUGGGGUGCUCGAGUGGCGAACGGGUGCGUACCACGUGAGUACCCUGCCCUUGCCUUUGGGAUAACUUCAGGAAACUGGGGCUAAUACCGGCUAGGAGCUCCUGCUGCAUGGUGGGGGUUGGAAAGUUUCGGCGGUUGGGGAUGGACUCGCGGCUUAUCAGCUUGUUGGUGGGGUAGUGGCUUACCAAGGCUUUGGCGGGUCGCCGGCCUGAGAGGGUGACCGGCCACAUAGGGACUGGGAUACGGCCCAGACUCCUACGGGAGGCAGCAGUGGGGAAUAUUGCACGAUGGGCGGAAGCCUGAUGCAGCAACGCCGCGUGCGGGAUGACGGCCGUCGGGUUGGAAACCGCUUUCGCCUGUGACGAAGCGUGAGUGACGGUAAUGGGUAAAGAAGCACCGGCUAACUACGUG